GCCAGGGUAGUGUAGUGGUUAGCACAUCUGCCUAGUGAGCAGGGGAUCCUGGUUCGAAUCCUGACCUUGGUA